rnacentral:rRNA from 1 species
AUACGAACCGGACAAACGUUAUUCGGAAUUAUUGGGCUUAAAGGGUGCGUAGGCGGCGCGGUAAGUGCGGUGUGAAAGCCCACGGCUCAACCGUGGAAUUGCGCUUCAUACUGCCGUGCUAGAGGGAGACAGAGGUAAGCGGAACUGAUGGUGGAGCGGUGAAAUGCGUUGAUAUUAUCAGGAACCCCGGUGGCGAAAGCGGCUUACUGGGUCUCUUCUGACGCUGAGGCACGAAAGCUAGGGUAGCGAACGGGAUUAGAAACCCCUGUAGUCC